CUCAUCAAGCGGGGUCGGCUCGACAGAUUCAUCCGACGCUGGCCUGAAGGUAGGGAGGAUCGGUCGAGGGCCCUGCCACAACCGGAGCCGCCAAGGAGGGAAGAACAGCUUGGAGAUCAGCCUCCAAUUGGGAUCAUCAACACCAUCUUUGGAGGGCCCCGAAGGGGAGCGACCAGUGGAUCGAUCGGACCGCUCAAGCGGUAGAGAACUGAAGGAUCUAUAACCUUUACUGAAGA
rnacentral:lncRNA from 1 species